GAUGAACGCUGGCGGCGUGCUUAACACAUGCAAGUCGAACGAUGAAGGGGAGCUUGCUCCUUGGAUUAGUGGCGAACGGGUGAGUAACACGUGAGUAACCUGCCCUUGACUCUGGGAUAAGCACUGGAAACGGUGUCUAAUACCGGAUAUGAGCUUCCACCGCAUGGUGAGGGGCUGGAAAGAAUUUCGGUCAAGGAUGGACUCGCGGCCUAUCAGGUAGUUGGUGAGGUAAAGGCUCACCAAGCCGACGACGGGUAGCCGGCCUGAGAGGGUGACCGGCCACACUGGGACUGAGACACGGCCCAGACUCCUACGGGAGGCAG
rnacentral:rRNA from 1 species